rnacentral:rRNA from 2 species
UUGACCUCGGAUCAGGUAGGGAUACCCGCUGAACUUAAGCAUAUCAAUAAGCGGAGGAAAAGAAACCAACAGGGAUUGCCCCAGUAACGGCGAGUGAAGCGGCAAGAGCUCAAA